rnacentral:tRNA from 1 species
GGUCCGUUGGCCAAGGGGUUAAGACACCGCCUUUUCACGGCGGUAACACGGGUUCGAAUCCCGUACGGACUA